rnacentral:sRNA from 1 species
GAUUCGGUCCGCGCAGAGCGCCAACUGGACGUGGUCCUAGAGGUUGGGUGGUCAGACACUGUGAUCCCGGGUGCUGUGCCCGCGCUACGGGAAGGGGAAGCAGCGCGUGGGUCUCGCAUCAGGAGGCGAGGCCAGGACCCGCUGACCCAUGCCUCCUACCGUGGUCAGAGCCCAAGUUUGUCAAGGUAUUUUGGAUCCCGGAGAGCGAGAACCCAGACGACGACAAAAUCUACUUCUUCUUUCGUGAGACGGCGGUAGAGGCGGCGCCGGCACUGGGACGCCUGUCCGUGUCCCGCGUUGGCCAGAUCUGCCGGAACGACGUGGGCGGCCAGCGCAGCCUGGUCAACAAGUGGACGACGUUCCUGAAGGCGCGGCUGGUGUGCUCGGUGCCCGGCGUCGAGGGCGACACCCACUUCGAUCAGCUCCUGCCCCAGCAAGACCUUUGGCACCUUCAGUUCCACCAAGGACUUCCCAGAUGAUGUCAUCCAGUUUGCGCGGAACCACCCCCUCAUGUACAACUCUGUCCUGCCCAUUGGGGGGCGCCCUCUUUUCCUACAAGUUGGAGCCAAUUACACCUUCACUCAAAUUGCCGCG